UAGCUUGCUACCUAACCUAGCGGCGGACGGGUGAGUAAUGCUUAGGAAUCUGCCAUUUAGUGGGGGACAACAUUCCGAAAGGAAUGCUAAUACCGCAUACGUUCCUACGGGAGAAAGCAGGGGAUCUUCGGACCUUGCGCUAAAUGAUGAGCCUAAGUCGGAUUAGCUAGUUGGUGGGGUAAAGGCCUACCCAAGGCGACGAUCUGUAGCGGGUCUGAGAGGAUGAUCCGCCACACUGGGACUGAGACACGGCCCAGACUCCUACGGGAGGCAGCAGUGGGGAAUAUUGGACAAUGGGCGGAAGCCUGAUCCAGCCAUGCCGCGUGUGUGAAGAAGGCCUUUUGGUUGUAAAGCACUUUAAGCGAGGAGGAGGCUACUAGUACUAAUACUACUGGAUAGUGGACGUUACUCGCAGAAUAAGCACCGGCUAACUCUGUGCCAGCA
rnacentral:rRNA from 1 species